CUCCUGGUCUCGCACCUGAAUGACAGAGGAAGAGCAGGCACAGUCACACUCAGGGAGAAGGUAGCCUUGCCUGCACCAGCUUCCAAGCAACUCAUCAGGACUCCUACACAGGUCUUCCAGUGCAGUGAGGGCUGGAAUUCUGGCUGCUUCUCAUGUGUGGAGAGAACAGUUGGUGGAAGAUCAAGCCCUGAACACCCCUCCUCAGGGCAGGAGAGGAAGAGACAACGUGAUCGUGCUCUCUGGAGUGGUUUGCAAUAGUGCUGCUCAGAUUACAG